GUGCCUUAUAACAUGUCUUUAUAACUGGCUGUGUAAGAAUGAAGAAAAGCUGUCCAUCUUCUGAGAAGCCCACUUCUCCACCAAGGUGCUCAGUUUUAGGAGUGGAGAACAGGGGCCACGGAAAAUACAUUGCUCCCCAGCUCCCAGCUCUCUUUACUUUCUCCCAGGAAGCAGCAUGUGCCAUCCUUCUGUCAGAAAACACCAAAGAGAUGAAGAAAUGAGAAAUCCAGAAACCAAAGACCUUGCUCUUUUGUCAAACAGACUUGGUAGAGCAGAGUUGCAAAAUCAGACCUUUGGGGGCUUGCGUGUUUCUCCUCUUACUCCCUGGUAAGCCCUGCCUUGAACUUCAGGCUGCCUGGCUUGGAUCCUGAUGCUGCUUUGCUGACACAAUCCAUUCUCCCAGGGAACACCCAGAGUUCCACUCCAGCCCUGGCAACGCUGCAGCAGAGGCCAACUGUACGGAAAGUCUACAUUGGCUCGGAACAAUUGAGGCUGGGAGAGGGUAUCACAGCAAUUUCCCCACAUCCAUUCCAGCUGGUGAUUUCCUGCUUGGUCGUCUUUUAAAACCCAGCCAUCUGAAUCCGAGAGUUGCUUCUUCAGCAAGGCCUCCCCUGACUCCUUCAGAUGUCUAAGCACCACCCCUACUCUUCUGCUGCAGCAUCUCCACUUGCUUUUGUCCUUCAUCUCCCUGAAAUUAUUUGCUUACUCAUCCAUCCAUGUCAGUUGCAAAAGCAUGACUUCCUCUAGUCCAAAGGCCAUUCAUGUUCAAUAUGUUAGCACUCGGAGCGUCUCCAGUGGUUGUUUCAAACAAGGCAAAUGAGUUCAGUUGAACUUUAUAUGUUCUGCCCUCCGACUGUGACUGUUAUUUACUUCCCUCCAAACAAAAUGUAAUAAUAAAAUGACUAACUGAACACUGCC
rnacentral:lncRNA from 1 species